rnacentral:rRNA from 1 species
AACGAACGCUGGCGGCAUGCCUAACACAUGCAAGUCGAACGAGACCUUCGGGUCUAGUGGCGCACGGGUGCGUAACGCGUGGGAAUCUGCCUUUGCUUCGGAAUAACAGUUAGAAAUGACUGCUAAUACCGGAUGAUGUCUUCGGACCAAAGAUUUAUCGGCAAAGGAUGAGCCCGCGUAGGAUUAGGUAGUUGGUGGGGUAAAGGCCUACAAGCCGACGAUCCUUAGCUGGUCUGAGAGGAUGAUCAGCCACACUGGGACUGAGACACGGCCCAGACUCCUACGGGAGGCAGCAGUGGGGAAUAUUGGACAAUGGGCGCAAGCCUGAUCCAGCAAUGCCGCGUGAGUGAUGAUGGCC